GGUCUGUGGCUCGGUCCCGCCCGGGAGCGCCGCCCCGGUUCAGCUCGAGGUGCGCUGCGGGCGCUGAGUCAGUUACUCCAGGACCAGAGACAUCAAGGACUGAGAAAUUUGAGAAUAUGGGUCAUUGUGAUUAUUUUUUGUCUCACCAGGCCCCAUCAUGCCACAGGUAAUGUUAAAGAAUUUCUCUGGGCUGUGACUUUGGUUUUGGUCUUGCUUUUCACUCCCUACUCAAAGCCUGUGGUUAAUCAAAGAAAAGUACACACAUACCUUCUUGGGAGGCAAUUCUGCCUAUAUGACACAUUUAGUGCUGAGAAAAAAAAAACAAACAAACUAUCAUUGCCAUUUUUUAGUACUGUAAUUGCUAUGUUUACUCAUGGUGUUGACUGAAAUUCCACUGAAUUUUACUUGCAUAUGGGGCUUCUCAUGUUGGGUCUAAUUCUGCUGUUCUAUCAAACUUGCAGUUUAUGCCAAGCCCUGCCCUUGCUGUCUGUUCAUAGGAGUUUUGUCACAUACCUGUAUUUAUUACCGCCUUCUUUUUCUUGGUUACCCUCCAUUUCCUCAUUAUUUCCCGUCUGUUGAUUUUUCUAUCUUCACUUCUAAAAAAAAAAAAAAAAAACCAUAAUCCACUCUCUUAAAACUUGGUGUAAUUUCUCUAUUUCCCAUAUCCUAUGCCUGUCUUGUCUAAGUUGAUUGUAAGCAUCUCAAGUCACAGACUGCCUUAUCUAUACCAAAUACCACGUUAUAGGAAACUUUUGUUUGAGUUAGUCUUUAUGCACAGCAUAAGUAAAUACAUUUUAUUAAUAAUAAUAACAACUAUGCAAUUAAUCCCAUAUAUUUUAAUCAUGGGACUGAAUGUAAUAGCUCAAAAGAAGUAUGGCAAAAAGGAUUCUUUAUGCUACAUGGAAUUAAGGUGAAUAGAAGAUGUCUUUAAGUAGUCAUGACAAUAUAUCUUUAAAAAUGCCUUAUUUAACCAAUUGCCUCUUUUAAUUUGUUAGAUAAAAGAUUUUUAUUGGUUUAUUCAUACAUUCUUCACUGUGGUAGGAUCACAGUGACUACUUAUCUCUGAGCUUGGUGGCCUCAGGGAUAAUCCAAGGAAGCAUUAUGUUAAACAUUGUCUAGAACAAUGAAGCAGCAAACACAUGCAAGUGUUUCUGCUCCAAAGUUUAGGUGAAAGCCUGAUAUCUAUAUGCAGUAUUUAUAUAGGAUGUCUUUAUAUAGAUGAGAAGGAAAUUAGUUGUCAGCUCCAACCUCUACAUGUGUUCAACAGGAGCUCAUCCUGAGCAACAAGGUGGGAUAAAGCAGGAAGGUGUUUAUCUGCAAGGGCAGUAGAGGGAUUCAGUUGUAGCCUGUCAGGAAACAGGAGAUUUCUUCACCGAGAAACAAAAGGAGCAUGGGGAUGUUGAGCUGUGAGAAUGGAGGGAAGGGAGAGGAGUGAAGGACAGUGCUCACCAGUGCUCCUGCAGAAAAAUGAAAGAAACACAAGGGAAGAAGGGGCUGACAAGCCAAGAUGAAACAGUGACUGCAGAACUGCAGAAGUGAAAAGUGAGAAAAACCGCAAAAACUAAGCUGAGACAUGAGCUAGAUAUGCUAAAUGUGACUGAAGGGCCAACAAGAGAUUGGUUUAAGAUGGACAGAGAAACUUUCAGAUAAGAGGAAGCAAAACCAAGUUUGAAGGGGAUUUAGGGUAGAUCCCAACAAGAGACAAAGAGACGUGACUGGAAGAACCUGUGAGGUGAAAAGAGGCACUUAUUCCAAAGGCACUUUUUUUUUUUUUUUUUUUUUUAAAUGGUCAAAGAGACAAACCAAUCUCUGUGGGUGCUAGGAAUCAGAGCAGACUAAGUGACUAAAGCUGUGAACAAACGAAGGAGCGAGUGUUGGGAAGAUCAGGAAACAAAAUGGGGUGAAGUUAUCAGGGCAAGUGAUGGAGUUACAGAAGACAUGUUGAUAAGCUUUUUGUUACUGCCACUUAGAGACUUGUAGACAGAGGAAGCAUGAAGAGAAUAUUUUAUCACUUUUAUCUUUACAGAAAAUGGUGAGAUAACAAGUAGAGGAAAACAGACAGGAAGGCUUGACAAGGGUUAAGCAGCAGCAAUGAAAAGCUGACUGGGAUUACAAGCAUUCAGAUGAGCUGCAGAAGGAGAAUUGUUUAGUUGUGAGAAGGCAGAAAUGGAGGAGAGAGCAGGCAUGUGGGAGAGGAAGUUGCCUUGAUCACAGGAUUUCCGUCACUCUGCACUGCAAGAGCACGCAUGGGUGGAGCAAGCAGUGAAGCACAUCCCUGGCCUACAGAAGUUACAGAAGAUGCUUCAGACCAGCAUUUUAGUUAUUGGAAAUAUUAUUUCAAGCUCUGUAAAAACAAUAAACACAAUGAUAAUAACACAUUGUUUUAAGGUCAGGUUUAUGCAAUCCAAGGCUUUAGAAUAAACCUUUGAGAUUCUACUACUGUUGAACGGCUUUAGGGAGCACAUAAUGUUAUUUUCUCUUAACGUGUGGGGCCACUUUAAAUUUGUGCUUCUGCAUUAUUAAACCAUCGUGGGAAGUGCAGCAGGAGGAAACCCGGGCAAUUGGCUGCAGCUCCAGAUGCAGCCGCUUGCUCAUUGGAGAGAGGAGGAUUCUCCCCGCACUAAAAUUAGACCAUCUCCGCCCUCCAGAAAUGCUUCUGGAAACAGCGAGCGCAGGAAUUGUGCCACAGCCCGAGGAGCUGCGGUGGCAGGGAGCUGUGCAGGGCCCUGCUCCCAAACUGCAGCCUCGGGCUGCACUGCAAGGUGCUUUGGGGGGCUGGAAAAAAAAUGCACACAAUAAACUGCAAGAGAUUCAUGUUAACAGUGAAACACGGAUAUUAAAUUCAACAUUACUUAUGUAAUAAUAAUUCUGAAGUGUUCAUGCGGGCAGAGGAACCCUUUGAACUGCUAAAUUUAAGCAAGGGCUGUCAGACUUGUGCUCAUUGACUUUGAAAAGAUAUGACUUCCUGAAUUAACUCUGAACUAAAAAACUGGUGGACUCUUUCUAUCAGCAUUUCUUAAAAAAUAAAACAUGUUUAUCCAUUA